GCUGGGCAUGGUGGUGCAUGCCUGUAAUCCCAGCUACUCUGGAGGCUGAGGCAGGAGAAUUGCUUGAACCCGGGAGGCGGAGGUUGCGGUGAGCCGAAGAUCGUGCCAUUGCACUCCAGCCUGGGUAACAAGAGCGAAACUCCGUCUCAAAAAAAAAAAAAAAUACAUAUAUAUUUUUAAACUGCAAGUUUUUUUGUUUGAGACAGAGUCUUGCUGUGUUGCCCAGGCUGGAGAGCAAUGGUUCAGUCUCAGCUCACUGCAACCUCCACCGCCCAGGUUCAAGCAAUUCUCCUGCCUCAG
rnacentral:sRNA from 1 species